CCUACGGGAGGCAGCAGUGGGGAAUAUUGCACAAUGGGGGAAACCCUGAUGCAGCGACGCCGCGUGAGUGAAGAAGUAAUUCGUUAUGUAACGCUCUAUCAGCAGGGAAGAAAAUGACGGUACCUGAGUAAGAAGCCCCGGCUAACUACGUGCCAGCAGCCGCGGUAAUACGUAGGGGGCAAGCGUUAUCCGGAUUUACUGGGUGUAAAGGGAGCGUAGACGGCAGUGCAAGUCUGGAGUGAAAGGCGGGGGCUCAACCCCCGGACUGCUCUGGAAACUGUAUGGCUGGAGUGCAGGAGAGGUAAGUGGAAUUCCUAGUGUAGCGGUGAAAUGCGUAGAUAUUAGGAGGAACACUGGUGGCGAAGGCGGCCUGCUGGACUGCGACUGACGUUGAGGCCCGAAAGCGUGGGGAGCAAACAGGAUUAGAUACCCUUGUAGUC
rnacentral:rRNA from 1 species